rnacentral:lncRNA from 1 species
UCUAUAUAUGUGUAGAGGGAAGGAUGGGAUCAGGAAAAUACAAGCUUCAGGAAGAAAAUAUGAAGUCUACUAAGAUCUACUACUACUGACCUCACUGAUGAUUUGGGCCUUAUAGAAGUGUACAGCUAAGCUGAAAUUAUGAGCAAAGGUUAAUAACAGAGGUAAAGUGACUGUGGUCUAGAGAUAAGCACUUGUCUCAGGCUGAGCCAGUCAAAAUCUCUGUCUGGAUCUGAAUCUUGACCAGGGAUACAGUUAACGAAGACAGCAUGGCGAACUGAAGCACUGGAUGACAGCACUGCAGGGAGAAGAUUGAUGAGUUUCUACUUCUGAGAUCUGAGGUUCUCUGUUUUUCCAAAGACUUGGUUUUUUUUAACUUUUCCUUCAGUUUGUGAGUUACCCUAGAAUCAUUCCAGUUAAUUUACUUUUGAUCCCAUUAGUUAUUUCCUUUUUCUACCAAAGCAAAGAAUCCAAGCAUGCAACCAAAUCAGAAGGUUAACAUUUUCUCCACUGUCUUCUUUUAUUUUUACUUUUUAAAAACACUAUUAGGCCGGGUGCAGUGGCUCACACCUGUAAUCCUAGCACUUUGGGAGGCCAAGGCAGGUGGAUCACCAGAGGUCAGGAGUUCGAGACCAGCCUGGCCAAUGUGGCAAAACCCCAUCUCCACUAAAGAUACAAAAAUUAGCCGGGCAUGGCGGCAAGUGCCUGUAGUCACAGCUACUCAGGAGGCUGAGGCAGGAGGAUCGCUUGAACCUGGGAGGUGGAGGUUGC